rnacentral:rRNA from 1 species
UUGAACGCUGGCGGCAGGCCUAACACAUGCAAGUCGAGCGGAUGAAGGGAGCUUGCUCCUGGAUUCAGCGGCGGACGGGUGAGUAAUGCCUAGGAAUCUGCCUGGUAGUGGGGGAUAACGUCCGGAAACGGGCGCUAAUACCGCAUGCGUCCUGAGGGAGAAAGUGGGGGAUCUUCGGACCUCACGCUAUCAGAUGAGCCUAGGUCGGAUUAGCUAGUUGGUGGGGUAAAGGCCUACCAAGGCGACGAUCCGUAACUGGUCUGAGAGGAUGAUCAGUCACACUGGAACUGAGACACGGUCCAGACUCCUACGGGAGGCAGCAGUGGGGAAUAUUGGACAAUGGGCGAAAGCCUGAUCCAGCCAUGCCGCGUGUGUGAAGAAGGUCUUCGGAUUGUAAAGCACUUUAAGUUGGGAGGAAGGGCAGUAAGUUAAUACCUUGCUGUUUUGACGUUACCAACAGAAUAAGCACCGGCUAACUUCGUG